UACGGAGGAUGCAAGCGUUAUUCGGAUUCAUUGGGUUUAAAGGGUGCGUAGGCGGGCUAUUAAGUCAGUGGUGAAAUCCUGCAGCUUAACUGCAGAACUGCCGUUGAUACUGAUAGUCUUGAGUUUGGUUAAGGUAGGCGGAAUGUGUAAUGUAGCGGUGAAAUGCUUAGAUAUUACACAGAACACCAAUUGCGUAGGCAGCUUACUGAGCCGACACUGACGCUGAGGCACGAAAGCGUGGGGAGCAAACAGGA
rnacentral:rRNA from 1 species